rnacentral:tRNA from 17 species
GCCGAGAGUCCGUAUUUUAAUUACAACCUUGCCAAGGUUGGGGUCGCGGGUUCGAAUCCCGUCUUCCGCUCCA